rnacentral:sRNA from 1 species
GCCCCAGACCCGGGCGCCCCGCGAGCCCAGCUGCAAGUAAGCGGACGCUGCAGGAGCUGAAGAUGGCGAGCUCCGUGGCGCCCUACGAGCAGCUGGUGCGGCAGGUGGAGGCCUUGAAGGCUGAGAACAGCCACCUGAGGCAGGAGCUAAGGGACAACUCCAGCCACCUGUCCAAGCUGGAGACAGAGACGUCGGGCAUGAAGGAGGUCCUGAAGCACCUACAGGGAAAACUGGAGCAGGAGGCCCGAGUGCUGGUGUCCUCGGGGCAGACGGAGGUGCUGGAGCAGCUGAAGGCCCUACAGAUGGACAUCACCAGCCUAUACAACCUCAAGUUCCAGCCACCCACCCUGGGCCCGGAGCCUGCCGCCCGGACCCCCGAGGGCAGCCCAGUACACGGCUCCGGGCCCUCCAAGGACAGCUUUGGGGAGCUGAGCCGGGCCACCAUCCGGCUGCUGGAGGAACUGGACCGGGAACGGUGUUUCCUGCUGAAUGAGAUUGAGAAGGAGGAGAAGGAGAAGCUCUGGUACUACUCCCAGCUGCAGGGCCUGUCCAAGCGCCUGGACGAGCUGCCGCACGUGGAGACGUUCUCGAUGCAGAUGGACCUGAUCCGGCAGCAGCUUGAGUUCGAGGCCCAGCACAUCCGCUCGCUGAUGGAGGAGCGCUUCGGCACCUCGGACGAGAUGGUGCAGCGGGCACAGAUCCGCGCCUCGCGCCUGGAGCAGAUUGACAAGGAGCUGCUGGAGGCGCAGGACCGAGUGCAGCAGACGGAGCCCCAGGCCUUGCUGGCGGUGAAGUCGGUGCCGGUGGACGAGGACCCCGAGACAGAGGUCCCCACACACCCUGAGGAUGGCACCCCUCAGCCGGGCAACAGCAAGGUGGAGGUGGUCUUCUGGCUGUUGUCCAUGUUGGCGACGCGCGACCAGGAGGAUACAGCGCGCACGCUGCUGGCCAUGUCCAGCUCGCCUGAGAGCUGCGUGGCCAUGCGCCGCUCGGGCUGUCUGCCUCUGCUGCUGCAAAUCCUCCACGGCACCGAGGCUGCGGCCGGGGGUCGCGCCGGGGCCCCAGGAGCACCGGGCGCCAAGGACGCACGCAUGCGCGCCAACGCGGCGCUGCACAACAUCGUCUUCUCGCAGCCGGACCAGGGCCUGGCGCGCAAGGAGAUGCGCGUCCUGCACGUGCUGGAGCAGAUCCGGGCCUACUGCGAGACCUGCUGGGACUGGCUGCAGGCCCGAGACGGCGGGCCCGAGGGAGGCGGCGCCGGCAGCGGUGAGUGCCCGGCCUGGUGGGCCCCCUCCGCGCAAUUAACGUGCAGCUAGGGCUUCCCGGGGGAUGGGCGACUAGGACCUCCAGCCUUUGCUGCCUGCCUUCUGGCGUUGGAGGCUGCAGUACCAGGCUCCCGCCGAGGCCUGUGGGGGCAUUUGACGUUGGGAAAAGACCCGCCCAUGAUGGUACCUGGCGCAGAGUAAACGCUCGGGAAGUCGCUGAAUGCAUGGACGGAUCGUGGGUAACUCUGGAAAGUUGGGUGCAGACUUUGAGAUUCUUUUUUUGCAGUUGAUCGCAAAGUUAAGUUAAUAUGGGGGGCCGGGCGCUGUGACUCACACCUGUGAUCCCAGCACUUUGGAAGGCGGAAGCAGGAGAAUUGCUUGAGCCCAGGAAUUUGGGGCUGCAGUGAGCUGAGAUCAUGCUACUGCACUCCAGUCUGAACAACAGAGCGAGACCCUGUCUCAUCAGUUUUAUUUUUAAAAAGGGCAGAAGCACAGCUGAAAGGUGUGGUGCUCCAGAACUACCUCGCCUCCCUUCCCAAGGCUGAGUGAGAGAGGCCACCCCAUCAUCCCAUCUUAGAGAGGCUGGGAAAGGAAGUCCCAACUUUGCAGCCAUUUGCGAAACUCCCGGGAUCCUUCAGGCCUGGGGCGGGCAGGUUGCGGGGGGGGGGGGGGGGGACCUUCGGGAGUCACCUGGGUCAUUUCCUGGGAAUGGGGGCUCUGAUCUGGUCCCUGUGCCCACAGACCCGAUCCCCAUCGAGCCGCAGAUCUGCCAGGCCACCUGUGCUGUUAUGAAGCUGUCCUUUGAGGAGGAGUACCGCCGUGCCAUGAACGAGCUAGGUGGGCUGCAGGCCGUGGCAGAGCUGCUGCAGGUUGACUAUGAGAUGCACAAGAUGACCCGGGACCCGCUGAACCUGGCGCUGCGCCGCUACGCGGGCAUGACCCUCACCAACCUCACCUUUGGGGACGUUGCCAACAAGGCCACCCUGUGUGCGCGCCGCGGCUGCAUGGAGGCCAUCGUGGCCCAGCUGGCCUCCGACAGUGAGGAGCUCCACCAGGUGGUGUCCAGCAUCCUUCGGAACUUGUCCUGGAGGGCCGACAUCAACAGCAAGAAGGUGCUGAGGGAGGCGGGCAGCGUGACUGCCCUGGUGCAGUGUGUCCUGCGGGCCACCAAGGAGUCCACCCUGAAGAGCGUGCUGAGCGCCCUGUGGAAUCUGUCUGCACACAGCACAGAGAACAAGGCGGCCAUCUGCCAGGUGGAUGGCGCCCUGGGCUUCCUGGUGAGCACCCUGACCUACAAGUGUCAGAGCAACUCGCUGGCCAUCAUCGAGAGCGGCGGCGGCAUCCUCCGCAAUGUGUCCAGCCUCGUCGCCACCCGUGAGGACUACAGGCAGGUGCUCCGGGAUCACAACUGUCUGCAGACGCUGCUGCAGCAUCUGACUUCGCACAGCCUGACCAUCGUGAGCAACGCGUGCGGCACGCUCUGGAACCUGUCGGCCCGCAGCGCCCGUGACCAGGAGCUGCUGUGGGACCUGGGCGCCGUGGGCAUGCUACGUAAUCUGGUGCACUCCAAGCACAAGAUGAUCGCCAUGGGCAGCGCCGCCGCCCUGCGCAACCUGCUGGCCCAUCGGCCCGCCAAGCACCAGGCGGCCGC